UACGUAGGGGGCAAGCGUUGUCCGGAUUCAUUGGGCGUAAAGAGCGUGUAGGCGGCCAGGUAGGUCGGUUGUGAAAACUGGAGGCUCAACCUUCAGAGGUCGACCGAAACCAUCUGGCUAGAGUCCGGUAGGGGAGUGUGGAAUUCCCGGUGUAGCGGUGAAAUGCGCAGAUAUCGGGAGGAACACCAGUAGCGAAGGCGGCACUCUGGGCCGGUACUGGACGCUGAGGAGCGAAAGCGUGGGGAGCAAACAGGG
rnacentral:rRNA from 1 species